GACGAACGCUGGCGGCGUGCUUAACACAUGCAAGUCGAACGGAAAGGCCCUGCUUUUGUGGGGUGCUCGAGUGGCGAACGGGUGAGUAACACGUGAGUAUCCUGCCCUUGACUUUGGGAUAACUUAAGGAAGCUGGGGCUAAUACCGGAUAGGAGCUCCUGCUGCAUGGUGGGCGUUGGAAAGUUUCGGCGGUUGGGGAUGGACUCGCGGCUUAUCAGCUUGUUGGUGGGGUAGUGGCUUACCAAGUCUUUGACGGGUAGCCGGCCUGGGAGGGUGGCCGGGGACAAUGGGACUAAGGGAGGGACCAGACUGCAACGGGAGGCAGCGGUGGGAAGUAUUACACAGUGGGCGGAAGCCUGAGGCAGCAACGCCGGGUGCGGAAUGACGGCCUUCGGGGUGUGAACCGCUUUCGCCUGUGACGAAGCGUGAGUGACGGUAAUGAAUAAAGAAGCACCGGCUAACUACGUG
rnacentral:rRNA from 1 species